rnacentral:snRNA from 1 species
CCUUUAAAAUUGGAAUAAUACAGAGAAGAUUAGCAUGGAGCCUGUGCAAGGAUGACACACAAAUUUGUGAAGUGUUCCAUAUUUGA